rnacentral:rRNA from 1 species
GUCUACGGCCACACCACCCUGAACACGCCCGAUCUCGUCUGAUCUCGGAAGCUAAGCAGGGUCGGCCUGGUUAGUACUUGGAUGGGAGAAGUAGAGGACAGAAGAGUAUAUGGAUGUAGGCA